GACGAACGCUGGCGGCGUGCUUAACACAUGCGAGUCGAACGGAAAGGCCCUGCUUGCAGGGUGCUCGAGUGGCGAACGGGUGAGUAACACGUGGGUGAUCUGCCCCUUACUUUGGGAUAAGCCUGGGAAACUGGGUCUAAUACUGGAUAGGACCAUGCUGUAGGUGGUGUGGUGGAAAGAUUAGUUUCGGUAAGGGAUGAGCUCGCGGCCUAUCAGCUUGUUGGUGGGGUAAUGGCCUACCAAGGCGUCGACGGGUAGCCGGCCUGAGAGGGUGGACGGCCACAUUGGGACUGAGAUACGGCCCAGACUCCUACGGGAGGCAGCAGUGGGGAAUAUUGCACAAUGGGCGCAAGCCUGAUGCAGCGACGCCGCGUGGGGGAUGACGGCCUUCGGGUUGUAAACUCCUUUCAGCCAUGACGAAGCCUUCGGGUGACGGUAGUGGUAGAAGAAGCACCGGCUAACUACGUG
rnacentral:rRNA from 1 species